GUGCCAAAGCAGAGUGUGCAAACCCAACCACUACAGCACUGGGCCAGCCCUGAAGCAACUCUUAUUCGAAUGCUGGCUAUCAGAAGUCUCUGGGAGGGGAACAGGGAAGCCCUGUAUUUCUUAGCUAACUCUCUUAUUAAUAUGCUGAGCAAUCUCCCCUUGCUUUAGUCACCAGGUACUUUGGCUUUAAGUAGUCACAGAAGGUUAUUCCAAUCCUGGGUAGUUACACUGCGGCAGGAUGCAGUGCCUGGCGCAUAGAGGGUGCGCAGUAAGUGACUGAAUGAAUGCAUGCAUGAAUAAGGUACAUCUUCAGCUGAAAAUGGGGAAAUAAAGCCACAUAGCCCUCAUUUAUUUAAAAAAAUGUGCUUAGAGAUUACCAUGCGCCAGGCACUGUGCGAAGUGCUGGGAAUAUAACGGGUCCCUGCUGCCAUCCUGGAACUCAGGGUCCUGAUGAACAAACGAAGCUGUGAUGACCAAGCUGUGAUGACCGUGGGUUUGUCUCAGAUUUACCCUAGGAGUUUGGCCCUGAGCUAGGAACCAGCCCUGCUGUGAUGUAAAAAGGGGGCUGAUUGGAGAAUGGUUUGGGGAUUUAUUUUUCAGAAAGGACAUCGGAGGUCAGUAAUUCUUCCCCUUCGUUUUACAGAUGAGAAAACCGAAGCCCAAGAUGGUGGAGCGAGUUGUCCAAGGGUUCACAGAAAGAACUGGAACUAGAAUCCACAUUUUUGGGUUCUUAGGCUUCUGCUUGAUCCAAGAGCUUUGCACAUAAUGGCCCAACUUUAUUUGUGGGUCUGUUUAUCUUUGCUUCCUGCUAACCUCACACCGGAAGUGCUUGUGUGAGAUCCAGAGUGGAAAGAUCCGAGGGACCGGCCUGGCAGGGGCCUUGGGUGGGCUUGUGCCCGGGAGAGUCACGGGACACCGGCGAGUGUGGCUGCUCUGCUCAGGGGCCACAGCAGCGGUGCUUGGUCAGGAAGGAACUGGAAGGGGGGUACAGAAAUUGCUGUCAGUGGGACCCCAGAGGCCGGGGGAGGGGUCUGGGGCUGUUCUGGGCCGUGUGAGCUGGGCAAUGAGCUGCUGAUCUGUGCUGUGGUCUCCAGCAGACUUGUGAGGAGCUGCUACCGAUGGGGAGGCGUUUUGAAAACAGCCCAAGAGGCGAGAGAGGAAACAUUUAAAGAAGAGAUAAACAAAAGAGGUGACAGACUUCUCACGUUAGCAAAAGGGGCCUCAGUUUUGCUGUGAAACUCCACUCCUCCUCUUCCCCUAGCAUGCCACUGAGGGGGCUCGUCCGCGGUUCCCGGAGGUGACCACUGUGUUAAGGCCUUAGUUCUGAGGACCAUGUUGGUCUUGCUGUGUCUGAGCCCUGGGGUUGAUGAUAUCCUGAUUUAAAUUCCAGCCAAACAGUAAGAGCCAGCCAGCCGAUGGACUCCAAUGUCUGGAUUAGUCGGAUCUUCACUAUUUUUAUGAACUGUAACAUUCAUUGAGUGCUUCCCACAGCCAGGCUUUGUGCUGAGCCCCUAACCUGCUCUAUCUCCUGGAAUCUUCAUCACAACAGCCCUUUGAGAUGGCCACUGUUUAUUGGACCCAUUUUAUAGGCGGGGAAACGAAGGUCUGGAGAUGUCCCUGAUCACACAGGGAGGGAGGAAAAGAACAGGACUUUGAAGCCAGGACUUGCUUUGCAGAAAACACGUGUGGAAGGGGAGCAAAGAGGGAGGAAGUGAAGCCCCUUCCUGGGUGUGGGAGCCACCUGAUCCCCCCAGUGUGUCUGGCCCCCAGUCCCCAAGGGCAGGCCGACCGGGAGAGUGUGUGUUCCCUGUGGAAGCCUCUAGGAGGACGCGUUUCCAUCUACUGCCUCUGUCGCCAGCUGUCCGAGAGGACAUCACAGGGGCAGGACAUUUCUGGGAUGCUGGAGCACUGAGGGGUGGCCAGAAUGCUGGGCCUUCCCUAGUAGCCACCUCACAUUUCUCACUCUGCUAGGAGGAGCGAUAAAGUCGUUUUUCCAUUAACUAUUUUGAAAGCUCUUAUUUUUGGUAUAGUGGGGGCUCCCCUCCACUUUCUUUGGAGAUGCAGUUUGAGAGUAAUGGUUGAGAGCACUCGUUUUGUGGAUUUGAAUCCACAGCAGCUUGUUAGUUAUGUGGCUUUGGACAAGCUGCUUAACUUCUCUGGGCCUCAGUUUCCUCAUCUGUUAAAUGGUGAUAAUAUCAGCACCCGCCUCGUAGGAUUGUGACGAUCAAGUGAGAUAAUGCAAUGAACUUAGUACCUGGCCUGCUGUAAAUGUUCAAGAAAGGGUCAUUAUUAUUGUUCUUUAAUGGUGUAAAGAGACAAUUUGGUCUAGGCAGAUGGGGGCUCAAGUUUCUGGUUUCCCAGAAGGCCGCCAGCAUCCUCGGUGCCCAGGUGAGAUUGAAAGUGCUGUAGAAAUGGCAGGGCCAGGGCAAAGUCAUGCUUCAAUCUGAAUGUUUCCAGCAAGUUGAAAAGCUGAAGAGAUGGCCAUUUGAAAGUUGCUACAGACCACAGGAGCAACCGAAGAGAAAACUUUCCUUUCCAAAUCUGGAUGCCUACAACCCAUACAAAAAAGAUAUUUUGGGCAUCCCAUGUUUAUUUCUACCCAUGUCCUUUUUAGGCAUAGGGCUUCCAGAACCAAGAACUGUGCUAAGGACAAAUGAAGAGGAAAGGUUAUUUUUCAUUCCUAGGCAAUAUGCAUAUAGAGUUUAUCAACAUGAUCACAACCUUUUGCGGAGCUGAACUUCUAAUGGGAAACAGGGAAAAAAUGUAAGUGGUACAUUUCUCACCAUGCUUUACAUUACUGCUUUAUAUUGUCCUGCCCGUUUCAUUUGGGAUGCAAACCAACUCAAACUGCCCUGCGGAGCACUUUAGAUUUACAGAGCCUGUGGAACCCUUCCCAGUUUUGCAAAUGGAAGGGCCCUAAGCAGUUACUUGCUGCACGGCAAGCCCCCCCGGCAGGCAGCAUCCGCAAGGAGGGCCUAGUUGUGUUUCCCAAGUAGCCCUGCCCUUGGUGGGCGCCUAAUAAAUAUUUGUGGAAUAAAUGAGUUGUUGUUUUCUACCUUGCCCUAUGCAGCUCAAUUUGUUGGUUUAAAAGAAUUUUCCUCAUCACAAUUUCCAAAAGCUUAAACAGUAACAUUUGUGUUUAUGUAUGUAUGUAAAAUAACAAUUAAUUAGAAAGUGCUGUUUUAUGUUGUCGCUGGUGAAAAGCAGUGGCCUCUCUUUUAUGACUUCUAUAAUCUAGUAAGAGCUUUGAGCACCCAAAGGCUUAGAAUACUAUCUUACUGUUUAAAAACCACAGAUUCUUUUGAUAAACAUUAAAAAAAAAAAACCUUCACAAUUGCCCAGAAAGUCUAAUGAGUUUUUAUCUGCAUUUUUUAGAGCGGCUAAAUAACUUGCCUGAGAUCACAGAGCUGGUGAGUUAUAACGGCUGGGGUUUGAACCCAGGCGGUCUGGCUCGAGAACGGGAGGCACCACUUGAUCAUGCUGAUAAUAUGAGGCAGAGGAGCCUGAGACAAGUGACUUACGUGUCAAGGGGCAGAGCUAGAAGCAGGACUUGACUUCCUGACUUGAAUAACUGUUCUAAGGCAGCUGCCUAGCAACCACGGCCCCCGUUCAGGAGCAGCUAUCGUGUGAGGAGGCUGGUGCCUGGCUCCCCCACUACGCCACGAACUUCUCAAGGGCAGGACCUGGCUCCUGGUCCUCUGUUUCCCCCCAAGGCCUCACGUGGCACUGGGCCUGCAGAAGACAGAUGCUCAAUAAGGAGCCUGCGUUACAGCUUCCACGGAUGAAGCCGAGCCUGUCUAUGGCUGCUUCGGAUGCAGACUCUGAAGCCAAAGAGGAUUGCAAACAUCCUGGCAUCUGUCCGAAAAGCCUAGUCUAGGGGCACAGAAGGACUUAACUCAGAGCAGAAGAGUUUCAGAGUCUUUGCUAACAGGAGAUUGAGCUGUGAGCUCAGGGCGUUCACCUUAGACGGCUUCUCCCUCUCAGUGUGUACGUUAUUACUUCUGGCAAAUCAUGAAAAACAUGACCUCACAAAGAAACCAGUGAGAGCCAUCAUCUUGAUUCAUCUCUCUCCUUUUCAAUGGGAAAAAACUGGCCUGUGCCUCGAACUUUGCUCAGCAGGAAAUGUUUAUAGAAAUUAGUCGUCAAUCGAGGACUUGUGCAUGUGUGUGCUCUUUGUUUAGAGAAACUCACCAACGCCCUGGACUCACCUCUGGAGGCUCCCGGCCAGGCCUUCAGCAGCACCCCUGGUCCCACGGCCGAGGCUCAGGCAGGCCACGGCUCCACGGCCGGGGCUUCGCGGCUGGAUCCCGGGGCGUGCAUCUCAGAGGCCGUGAAAUCACUGACCAAAUAAAAUUGCUUCUUCUUUUCA